rnacentral:lncRNA from 1 species
GCUAGGGGAAAAGCAAGUUUUAAUUUACAUGCUAUUUGUAAUGACUGUAACAGAAUUCCUGAUAAAUUGAAGUUCUUUUCCCUGAAAAAAAACAAAAACAAAGGCCAAUCCGUCCUGUGAUGGAUAGAUCAUGACUUUUCAGUUUAGAAAAGCACGAUAUGAGGAUCAAAGCACCAAGAUCUUGCAUCAAAUAUUUUCAGAAGCACUGAAAUGGUCUUCUUGCGCUGACCAAGAUUCUGCCUUGAAACCACCGUGCAUAUUGUCCUACGGCCUCCGGGCCAUCCAAUGAUAAGACACCACCAAAGCUUAUCCUAG